rnacentral:rRNA from 1 species
UGAUGCACUUUUUCAUUUGCAGGUCAACAUCAGUUUGCUUUGCUGGACAAAACCCCAAGGGAAGGUGGCAGCUUAGGCUGUGUUAUAGCCCUGGGGCGAUACAGUGGAGUGGACUGAGGUUUCGCAGUGUGUGCUCUCGGGCAAGGCUGACUGGGUGCUAUGGGAUCGUUCGGCGUACAAUGCAUGCAUUUUGCGUCGUGUCCUUUUCAUACUCGCUCAACUCGGCUCUUCCACACUUAGGAUGUUGACUUAAUGGUUUUAAACGA